AGGGUUCAGUCUUAUCUUUGGAAAAAAAAAAAAAAAACAUCAUGGGUUUACUAUUGUGGCAAACAGAUUGCACAGUCUGAGGAAGUGAUGUCAAAAGACAGUGUGUAUAUAUAAGUAUGAGAACUGAGAGCGAAACCUGUUACUAAAAGAUAAAAAAAUGAAUUUACUCUUGGGCACAUGUCUUGGAUUGCUGUUCAACUUUGUUGAUUUUAAUACAGGUGCUGAUAUGAUUGUAGAAAAAAAGAAAGUCUUCCUUGGAGGGCACGUGAGUUUGAUGUGUCUUAAUCUGUUGACACAGACAGACUGCAGUAAAGUUACAUGGCUGUCUAAUGAUGACCCUACCAUUGAGUUGGUCACCCUUGGUAAACUCAAUCCGGACAGGUCACAGAGAGAAGGCAGAGUGCGUCUGAUGUCUGACUGUUCUCUACACAUCAGUGUACACAGUCUACACAAGCUGGAGAUAAUGGAUGCUACACUUGCCGUCAGUAUUCAGGUGUGCAAGGAAGCAAAAUUGGAGAGGAUGCCAGAAUUUGCCUGAUUAUUAAUAAAACUGCUACUUCCAUGAACAAUAAAGACAGCACUGAUGACA
ensembl:lncRNA